rnacentral:rRNA from 1 species
GACGAACGCUGGCGGCGUGCUUAACACAUGCAAGUCGAACGGAAAGGCCCUGCUUUUGUGGGGUGCUCGAGUGGCGAAAGGGUGAGUAACACGUGAGUAACCUGCCCUUGACUUUGGGAUAACUUCAGGAAACUGGGGCUAAUACCGGAUAGGAGCUCCUGCUGCAUGGUGGGGGUUGGAAAGUUUCGGCGGUUGGGGAUGGACUCGCGGCUUAUCAGCUUGUUGGUGGGGUAGUGGCUUACCAAGGCUUUGACGGGUAGCCGGCCUGAGAGGGUGACCGGCCACAUUGGGACUGAGAUACGGCCCAGACUCCUACGGGAGGCAGCAGUGGGGAAUAUUGCACAAUGGGCGGAAGCCUGAUGCAGCAACGCCGCGUUCGGGAUGACGGCCUUCGGGUUGUAAACCGCUUUCGCCUGUGACGAAGCGUGAGUGACGGUAAUGGGUAAAGAAGCACCGGCUAACUACGUG